GGGUUAGUAGGUUGGUCAUGCCAUCGGUAUGUACUGGUCUCACUGAUUCCUCCUUCCUGAUGAACCGUAAUGCCAUUAAUUUGGUGUUGCGGGGAGACUGGACUGUUACUUUGAAAAAAUUAGAGUGUUUAAAGCAGGCUAACGCUUGAAUACAUUAGCAUGGAAUAAUGAAAUAGGACGUUCGAUCCUAUUUUGUUGGUUUCUAGGAUUGACGUA
rnacentral:rRNA from 1 species